GUCGAACGAACUCUGGUAUUGAUUGGUGCUUGCAUCAUGAUUUACAUUUGAGUGAGUGGCGAACUGGUGAGUAACACGUGGGAAACCUGCCCAGAAGCGGGGGAUAACACCUGGAAACAGAUGCUAAUACCGCAUAACAACUUGGACCGCAUGGUCCGAGUUUGAAAGAUGGCUUCGGCUAUCACUUUUGGAUGGUCCCGCGGCGUAUUAGCUAGAUGGUGAGGUAACGGCUCACCAUGGCAAUGAUACGUAGCCGACCUGAGAGGGUAAUCGGCCACAUUGGGACUGAGACACGGCCCAAACUCCUACGGGAGGCAGCAGUAGGGAAUCUUCCACAAUGGACGAAAGUCUGAUGGAGCAACGCCGCGUGAGUGAAGAAGGGUUUCGGCUCGUAAAACUCUGUUGUUAAAGAAGAACAUAUCUGAGAGUAACUGUUCAGGUAUUGACGGUAUUUAACCAGAAAGCCACGGCUAACUACGUGCCAGCAGCCGCGGUAAUACGUAGGUGGCAAGCGUUGUCCGGAUUUAUUGGGCGUAAAGCGAGCGCAGGCGGUUUUUUAAGUCUGAUGUGAAAGCCUUCGGCUCAACCGAAGAAGUGCAUCGGAAACUGGGAAACUUGAGUGCAGAAGAGGACAGUGGAACUCCAUGUGUAGCGGUGAAAUGCGUAGAUAUAUGGAAGAACACCAGUGGCGAAGGCGGCUGUCUGGUCUGUAACUGACGCUGAGGCUCGAAAGUAUGGGUAGCAAACAGGAUUAGAUACCCUGGUAGUCCAUACCGUAAACGAUGAAUGCUAAGUGUUGGAGGGUUUCCGCCCUUCAGUGCUGCAGCUAACGCAUUAAGCAUUCCGCCUGGGGAGUACGGCCGCAAGGCUGAAACUCAAAGGAAUUGACGGGGGCCCGCACAAGCGGUGGAGCAUGUGGUUUAAUUCGAAGCUACGCGAAGAACCUUACCAGGUCUUGACAUACUAUGCAAAUCUAAGAGAUUAGACGUUCCCUUCGGGGACAUGGAUACAGGUGGUGCAUGGUUGUCGUCAGCUCGUGUCGUGAGAUGUUGGGUUAAGUCCCGCAACGAGCGCAACCCUUAUUAUCAGUUGCCAGCAUUAAGUUGGGCACUCUGGUGAGACUGCCGGUGACAAACCGGAGGAAGGUGGGGAUGACGUCAAAUCAUCAUGCCCCUUAUGACCUGGGCUACACACGUGCUACAAUGGAUGGUACAACGAGUUGCGAACUCGCGAGAGUAAGCUAAUCUCUUAAAGCCAUUCUCAGUUCGGAUUGUAGGCUGCAACUCGCCUACAUGAAGUCGGAAUCGCUAGUAAUCGCGGAUCAGCAUGCCGCGGUGAAUACGUUCCCGGGCCUUGUACACACCGCCCGUCACACCAUGAGAGUUUGUAACACCCAAAGUCGGUGGGGUAACCUUU
rnacentral:rRNA from 2 species